GAAAUUCGGAUUAAUACCCCAUGGUAUUAUCAGAAGGCAUCUGAAGAUAAUUAAAGAUUUAUUGGUAAAGGAUGGGCAUGCGUGACAUUAGUUAGUUGGUAAGGUAACGGCUUACCAAGACGAUGAUGUCUAGGGGUUCUGAGAGGAAGGUCCCCCACACUGGUACUGAGACACGGACCAGACUCCUACGGGAGGCAGCAGUAGGGAAUAUUGGGCAAUGGNGGCAACUCUGACCCAGCCAUGCCGCGUGCAGGAAGACAGCUUUCUGAGUUGUAAACUGCUUUUAUAUAGGAACAAAGAGGCCAUGCGUGGCAAGUUGCGUGUACUAUAUGAAUAAGCACCGGCUAACUCCGUGCCAGCAGCCGCGGUAAUACGGAGGGUGCAAGCGUUGUCCGGAUUUAUUGGGUUUAAAGGGUGCGUAGGUGGCUAAUUAAAGUCAGUGGUGAAAGCCUGCAGCUCAACUGUAGAGGUGCCAUUGAUACUGGUUAGCUUGAGUAUGGACGA
rnacentral:rRNA from 1 species